CCAAUAGCGUAUAUUAAAGUUGUUGCAGUUAAAAAGCUCGUAGUUGAAUUUCGGAAUCAAUGGGUUGGUCAUGCCCUCGGUAUGUACUGAUUUCAUUGGUUCUCACCUUCUAAGGAACCAUGAUGUCAUUUGUUUGAUGUUGUGGGAAAUUAGGACUGUUACCUUGAAAAAAUUAGAGUGUUUAAAGCAGGCUAACGCUU
rnacentral:rRNA from 1 species